GAAUCUGCCUAUUAGUGGGGGACAACAUACCUAAAGGAAUGCUAAUACCGCAUACGUCCUACGGGAGAAAGCAGGGGAUCUUCGGACCUUGCGCUAAUAGAUGAGCCUAAGUCGGAUUAGCUAGUUGGUGGGGUAAAGGCCUACCAAGGCGACGAUCUGUAUCGGGUCUGAGAGGAUGAUCCGCCACACUGGGACUGAGACACGGCCCAGACUCCUACGGGAGGCAGCAGUGGGGAAUAUUGGACAAUGGGCGGAAGCCUGAUCCAGCCAUGCCGCGUGUGUGAAGAAGGCCUUAUGGUUGUAAAGCACUUUAAGCGAGGAGGAGGCUACUUUAGUUAAUACCUAGAGAUAGUGGACGUUACUCGCAGAAUAAGCACCGGCUAACUCUGUGCCAGCAGCCGCGGUAAUACAGAGGGUGCAAGCGUUAAUCGGAUUUACUGGGCGUAAAGCGCGCGUAGGCGGCUAAUUAAGUCAUAUGUGAAAUCCCCGAGCUUAACUUGCUAAUUUGCAUUCGAUACUGGUUAGCUUAGAGUGUGGGAGAGGAUGGUAGAAUUCCAGGUGUAUCCGGUGAAAUGCGUAGAGAUCUGGAGGAAUACCGAUGGUGAAAGGCAGCCAUCUGGCCUAACACUGACGCUGAGGUGCGAAAGCAUGGGGAGCAAACAGGAUUAGAUACCCUGGUAGUCCAUGCCGUAAACGAUGUCUACUAGCCGUUGGGGCCUUUUGAGGCUUUAGUGGCGCAGCUAACGCGAUAAGUAGACCGCCUGGGGAGUACGGUCGCAAGACUAAAACUCAAAUGAAUUGACGGGGGCCCGCACAAGCGGUGGAGCAUGUGGUUUAAUUCGAUGCAACGCGAAGAACCUUACCUGGCCUUGACAUAGUAAGAACUUUCCAGAGAUGGAUUGGUGCCUUCGGGAACUUACAUACAGGUGCUGCAUGGCUGUCGUCAGCUCGUGUCGUGAGAUGUUGGGUUAAGUCCCGCAACGAGCGCAACCCUUUUCCUUAUUUGCCAGCGAGUAAUGUCGGGAACUUUAAGGAUACUGCCAGUGACAAACUGGAGGAAGGCGGGGACGACGUCAAGUCAUCAUGGCCCUUACGGCCAGGGCUACACACGUGCUACAAUGGUCGGUACAAAGGGUUGCUACCUAGCGAUAGGAUGCUAAUCUCAAAAAGCCGAUCGUAGUCCGGAUUGGAGUCUGCAACUCGACUCCAUGAAGUCGGAAUCGCUAGUAAUCGCGGAUCAGAAUGCC
rnacentral:rRNA from 1 species